AGGAAGUAGUGCUCGAUAGAAAUCCUUCUAUAGUUUAUUAUCCCCUGUGCUGUUGGCUAAGAUGUCAAAGAACAAUUGUAUGAAAUAUUUGAUCGCCGAAAAUCUAUAAAGAUGAGUCGUUUACAUUUCCCAAAUGGCAAAAGUCGUAGGAAUAUUGUUUGUCAUCGAUACGUAUUACAUACGUCAGUAGUCUAUUAAUCAGCUGAUAUAAGUUGGCGGCAAUUUCAAAUUACAUAGAAGACGAAAUUUACGUACCUUUUAAAUUGGGAGGAUUCUGAUGAUACAUAGGUACUUUAUUAUUAAUCAUUU
rnacentral:lncRNA from 1 species